rnacentral:rRNA from 1 species
UACGUAGGUUGCAAGCGUUAUCCGGAAUUAUUGGGCGUAAAGAGCGCGCAGGUGGUUGAUUAAGUCUGAUGUGAAAGCCCACGGCUUAACCGUGGAGGGUCAUUGGAAACUGGUCGACUUGAGUGCAGAAGAGGGAAGUGGAAUUCCAUGUGUAGCGGUGAAAUGCGUAGAGAUAUGGAGGAACACCAGUGGCGAAGGCGGCUUCCUGGUCUGUAACUGACACUGAGGCGCGAAAGCGUGGGGAGCAAACAGGAUUAGAUACCCGU